rnacentral:rRNA from 1 species
GUGGGGAAUCUUGCGCAAUGCGCGAAAGCGUGACGCAGCAACGCCGCGUGGGGGAAGACGGCCUUCGGGUUGUAAACCCCUUUCAGGAGGGACGAAGGUUCGCCGGUGAAUAGCCGUGCGGAUUGACGGUACCUCCACAAGAAGCUCCGGCUAACUACGUGCCAGCAGCCGCGGUAAUACGUAGGGAGCAAGCGUUGUCCGGAAUCAUUGGGCGUAAAGCGCGCGUAGGUGGCCACAUAAGUCCGUUGUGAAAGUCAAAGGCUCAACCUUUGAAAGCCGAUGGAUACUGUGUGGCUAGAGUACGGAAGAGGCGAGUGGAAUUCCUGGUGUAGCGGUGGAAUGCGCAGAUAUCAGGAGGAACACCAAUAGCGAAGGCAGCUCGCUGGGACGUUACUGACACUGAGGCGCGAAAGCGUGGGGAGCGAACAGGAUUAGAAACCCGAGUAGUCC